rnacentral:tRNA from 1 species
UAGCUCAGUCAGUAGAGCAUGAGACUCUUAAUCUCAGGGUCGUGGGUUCAUGCCCCAC